rnacentral:lncRNA from 1 species
CCAGACAAACUGAGGGACUGAAAAGGAAGUUUUUCUUAAAGGAAAGCAUCCUAAACACGCCAUCUCUUCUCCUUCUUCCCCACCUAUACCCACCUCCCUCACCCAUCACCACCAUUUCUUCCAUUUCCACUGCCAUCCAGCCACCAAACUUCCAUCCCCUCCAUUUCUUCUCACCAGUGCCACCAUUUCCUUUCCCUCUCAUCGGAAAAAUCGACGAGCUUGAGAGAGAAAUCAUCUUUCCUCUACUGCCGCUGCUGAUACAACCAUUUUCUAGUGUUUUUCGGCCAAACCGACGCUGGAAACGGCUUCCUCGUCCCCUUAAACCCCAAAAGCCAACUUCCUCGUCAUCUUUCCUCCACCGGCACUGGUGUGCUCACCUCAUUGGAGCCGAAACUUUGAGUCGCGAUAUGGCGGAUUCUAGCAAGCUUCAGGUGAAAAUAACACCAUUUCCGGACUCCACGCGUCAUAAGCUAUGCGUGGGCAACUUCAGAUUCGAUUUCUGACACCAUUGGAAAUACCGGCUAUUGGAUCUUAUUGUUUUUGGGACACCCGUGUCAGCGGGUAUUCAUCUCGGUAUAAAAUCUUUGGGACCCA